GACCUGCUUUAAAAGAGAAGGAAACUGAAGCCUUGCAGCAAAGGACUCAAGAGAUGGACACACAUGAACAAAAGCAACAUGAUUUAAGACCUGCUCUAAAAGAAACGGAAACUGAGGCUGAAGCUGAAGCCUUGCAGCAAAGGACCCUAGAGAUGGAUACACAUGAACAAAAGGAACAUGACUUAAGAUCUGCUUUAAAAGAGAAGGAAACUGAAGC